AUUGAACGCUGGCGGCGUGCCUAACACAUGCAAGUCGAGCGGUAACAGGUGUAGCAAUACAUGCUGACGAGCGGCGAACGGGUGAGUAAUGCUUCGGAAUCUACCCAAUGGUGGGGAAUAACCAGCCGAAAGGUUGGCUAAUACCGCAUACGUCCCACGGGAGAAAGCAGGGGAUCGCAAGACCUUGCGCCAAUGGAUGAGCCGAAGUCGGAUUAGCUAGUUGGAGGGUAACGGCCUACCAAGGCGACGAUCCGUAGCUGGUCUGAGAGGACGACCAGCCACACUGGGACUGAGACACGGCCCAGACUCCUACGGGAGGCAGCAGUGGGGAAUAUUGGACAAUGGGGGAAACCCUGAUCCAGCGACGCCGCGUGUGUGAAGAAGGCCUGCGGGUUGUAAAGCACUUUUAGUGGGGAUGAAAUGUUCAGGGUUAACACCUCUGGAUUUUGACCUAA
rnacentral:rRNA from 1 species